AGGCUCCCGAGGGCUCGGUCUUGUCCCUGUGGCCCCGACCUGCCCUCCACGAGCAACAGAAACUGGACUGGAUUGGGGGUUUCCUGUCUCAGUGGACACAGGACACCACAGUUUCCGGUGCGACA